rnacentral:rRNA from 1 species
UACAGAGGGUGCAAGCGUUGUUCGGAAUUACUGGGCGUAAAGCGCGCGUAGGCGGCCUUCUAAGUCGAACGUGAAAUCCCCGGGCUCAACCUGGGAACUGCGUCCGAUACUGGAAGGCUUGAAUCCGGGAGAGGGAUGCGGAAUUCCAGGUGUAGCGGUGAAAUGCGUAGAUAUCUGGAGGAACACCGGUGGCGAAGGCGGCAUCCUGGACCGGCAUUGACGCUGAGGCGCGAAAGCCAGGGGAGCAAACGGG